rnacentral:rRNA from 1 species
UACAGAGGGUGCAAGCGUUGUUCGGAAUUACUGGGCGUAAAGCGCGUGUAGGUGGCGAUUUAAGUCGGGUGUGAAAGCCCCGGGCUCAACCUGGGAAUUGCAUUGGAUACUGGCAGGCUAGAGUGCGGUAGAGGAUGGCGGAAUUCCCGGUGUAGCAGUGAAAUGCGUAGAGAUCGGGAGGAACAUCUGUGGCGAAAGCGGCGCACUGGACCACAACUGACGCUGAGGCGCGAAAGCUAGGGGAGCAAACAGG